AACAAGGAAAUGGUUCCAUCGUUUUCCACCAUACAUUUUUUACCCAUAUGGGAUAUACCUGGCGUGACGUUUUGAUAACCAUGUAACUCUCUCUAGGACAAGGUGACUUAUCCAAACAGUCGCCUGUAUCUACCCCCCAAAAAAUUAAAUGCUAAUUAGCUGAUUAUGUGGCUAUCAUAAAGAACUACAAAUGCCAUGAUGAUUUGGACGAGACAGCCGAAUUAAGGCAAAGUUGGGCAAUCCUCCUCUCAAAAUACUGCAUCAUGAAGGCUUCCUGGGUGGACCUCUGAGCAUGCCCCAACCCCAGGCUCAGGACGAGCAGUGUCAACAUCCAGCAGGUGGUGCCACAUUAUCUGGAGAAGACUGAAGUUUUCAUUUCCUCCUGAGGACCUGCAUGCCAGCUGUAUCCAGUCCAGUACGUUUGUUUUUGGUACAUUGAUAGAGUUUGUGUACUUUCAGCAAUCGACACUUCCUGUAACCUUUAGUAAUAUAGUAACAACUAGACAUGGUCUCUACAUGAACCUGGAUGUAAGGCAUGAGCACUUUAUGUCUGGGGCCGGAAAUCAGACAGGUACACUAAAAAGUAUAAUCCAUUAGUUAGCUAACUUUGAUAAGUAACCAGAAAUAACUAUUGGUUUUAUGGUUCACAAAAAAACAACAUAGAUAUUAAAUACAUUAGACCAUACACAUUUCAAUCUUAUCUUUCUACAAAAUGUAAAUGUUAUAUCAGAAUGUUUAGGCAAGUUAGCUGGCUAACUCCUUGAUCCUGCUUUAUAGUGUACCCCUCAGGUUUCAUCUGUCUGAAUGUGUUUGUCCUUUCCCUCUGUUGUCAAUGAGAUAUGGCAUCAUCUGUCUGUGUGUGAACAACCCUCAAAAGCUCAAUUGCAUAGAACUGGUUUCAUCAGGUAAUAUUCUCCCUACCAUCUUUCCACUUAUCUGACUAUCGUUUCAGUGUCAGGAAGUUACCUUAUUUCAAAUGUCAAAGCAUAUUUCCACUAGACAGCAGACACUCUUAUCCAGAGCGACUUACAGGAGCAAUUAGGGCACAUCAACAGAUUUUUGAACUAAUCAGCUCGGGGAUUCAAACCAGUAAUCUUUCAGUUACUGGACCAACACUCUUAACUGCCAGGCUAUGUGACAGAAGUUUUCUUUCAGUUGACUUCAGCAUUGUAGCCUUGAAAACAUCUCCUGUUGAUCUGUAACCAAAGAUGGUUUAGUUACAGGGGUGUCAAAAUACUGCCCGGAUCCAGCCCUCGAGGGGUCCAAUCCGGCCCGUGGGGGAGACGAACUCAAUAUACUUUAAAAUGACUGAAACAAAAUCUAAACUGUGUACAAAUGAUAAAGGACCUACAUUCAUACAGUUUCUUGACUGUGUCCAGCUCACUAAUAAUCACUGAAAUGAAAUCUAGACAGUCAGGGAGUAUCGGAAAUUCCCAAAACAAUGUAUAAAGGACUAUAUUUUGCUAAUUUUGACGGCUAGGAAAUAACACAUUGGCUCGAAUCUAGGUUCUGCCUUUUGAUUUAGAGAAAUUCGAACAACUAAAUAAAAACAUUUCUUCUUUUAUUGACUUCUCAAACCCCAAACUGGUCUGCCGAGUCUGCUUCGCACUUGAAGUCUCACGAUGUUGGGUGUUUGGAAACUCUGUGCUGUAACAGUUCAUUGCCAAUUGAAGGAACAUGACCACUCAAAUGGAUAUCCAGAUGUUAUACGUAAGUGUCCACUUAGCAAAAUAAGAAUUACUAAUGCCAUAAUCACAAAUUGAUAUUCAAUGUAUCUGAUAUGAUAAAAUGCUAGCCCACCCAACAUACAGUGCCUUCAGAAAGUAUUCACACCCCUUGACCU